CAUAGGAUUCUGGUGAUUCAACGGUUCCACAAGAGAUUAUGAAUCUGAUUGGCCAGACCUUUUUAUUUAAUAUUGAAGUCAACAACAGCUCUAAUUCAAAGUUUGAACCUUCGUAUCGUGUUAAGAAAAUGUGUACUGAACUGGAUGUUAUUUCUCAGUUCAAGACUUCCAUUCCCUCUAUUGAAGGAGGCACUAUGUUGCUUCUUAUGGGCACCCCAACAUCCGUAUUGAAAGAAGAAUCUUCUUAUUCGAGUUUGGUUAAGGUAAAUUUUAAAUGCCAUCCUUAAUUAUUCAAUGAUUGCACUAUUUUCUCUGUUGUUGGUAUUGGUAGCUGCAAAUUUUUUUAAUAUCAGGAUCUGAAUGUUGAGUUCGUUGGAAUACAAAAUCUCCUGUUAUGGACAUGAGUAAGGACACACAGAGUUUCCCUGCACUGCCUGCAGCCUCUUCCUUAGGGAUGGAAAUUUAGCCCAAACACGACCUGAUUUAACGGGUAAAACCCGAGUUGACUGGGUAUGGGUUCUGGUAAAACCCGAUUUCAAAAAGUAGUAUUUGGGUUCGGGUGUGGGAUGUUCACUACCCAUGCCCGAACCCUACCUGAACACAUAAAUUUACUAAAUUUCCUCCUGUAUAUAUAAUAGUAGAGUUAGGGUUAAUCUUCAUGCUUUGUCACUCUUUUUACCCUGUGUCCCUGACGGCUGCAUCAUCUUUCCUCACCCUUUGCUCCCUUCUCACCCUCUUCGCCCUCAACUUCUUCUCCAUUCCUAGCUCCUCCUCCCGCGACAAGUUCCCCAAACCCAACGAUCUCACCUCCAUUGCUCAUAACACGCUCAACACAACCGAUGAUGAUGAUGGAAGGGGAGAGAAGUAGGUUGAAGUGAUCUCAGUGGUUGUUUCUUUUUCUGGAAAAAUGGAUCAAGUGAACAUAACAAGUGUGGAAGUGUGUAGUUCUGAACAAGCUAGUACUUGUCAACCAACUACGAAAGGAGCUUCUAAUCCUACACCUGAAGCUCUCGCAGUUAAUGAAUCAUCUCAGGUUGAUCCUCAAGCUGAUGCAGAUUCAGUAGAACCUAAAACAAAGAGGCUUAGAAGUGAUGUAUGGCCGCAUUUUAAUAGAAUUGAAGUGAAUGGGACCCUCAAGGCAUAAUGCAUUUAUUGCAAAAAAAAAAAGCUUAGUGGCAAUUCGAAGAAUGGAACCAACCACUUGCGCAAUCAUGUGGCAAAAUGUGUCUAAAUGAAGAUACAGACAAGAGGCCAUGACAAAGGGCAAGCAUUUCUCAUGCCUAAAGCUUCACAAGGUAAGCAAGAGUUGGGAGCGGGAGCUUAUGAUGCGGAUAAUUCAAAAAGUCAGCUUGCCUGUGCAAUUAUUUUGCAUGAUUAUCCACUAUCGAUAGUGGAUCAUAUCGGAUUUCAGAGAUACUCCAAUUCUCUCCAACCAUUGUUUCAAGUUCCAACUCGAAACACUAUCAAGAAGGAGGUCAUUAAAAUCUAUGAAUUUCAAAAAACAUGUGUUAUGAAGAUGCUAGACAGUCAUGAAGGAAGAGUGGCCAUAACCUCAGAUAUGUGGACUUCCAACAAUCAAAAGAGGGGAUAUACGACGGUCACAACCCACUGUAUUGAUUCCACCUGGACUUUACAAAGUCGAGUAUUAGGGUAAUGAGCUUUGCAAUUUUAUAACUUUCUUAAUUAUUUUGUGUGUUUUUAAGACAAAAUGAUUAAAAGAAAAUAUUGCAAAUUUGUUAUUUUAGGUUUAUUUACGUUCCUGCCCCGCACACUAGUGAUAGACUUUGUGAAGCACUUGUUUACUGUCGUAUGGAUUGGAACAUUGACUCCAAAAUAUCUACAAUCACUCUAGAUAACUGCAACACUAAUGA